rnacentral:lncRNA from 1 species
UGAUAAUUGCUUUGUCCAAUUCACUUUUCCCAACUUUGGAUAGAAAUAGUCACGUUCGAGUUACAUGCUUGCAUUUCUAUUUGCUUGUGUCAAAAUGUAUGACUGACAAUGCUUUUGAAUCUAGAAGUAUAGAUGGCAAUUCAAGUAAAAGGAGAGUUGAGGAUAAUAAAGUCUAAUGAGAAUACUAGGGGCUAAACCUAAAAGUAAUAUACCUGGCAUUUCCCAUAUAGAUAGAACUUCUCAUCAUCACAUGAUAAAGAGCACGUCCCGCAAAACAUUAUUGCCGAAAGUCAUACUCAGGAUUAACAUAACUGACAUGGAAGCAUCAAAAUUUCAACUUCUAACAGCCAAAUGAGAUUAACAAAAGUAACAAAGAGACCAUGAUUUUCAUUGCUCAAAACAUUUUAGAGGUAUCAACCUUUCUUCCUCUUAGCAGCACACAUUUAUUUAACCUGUCAAAAUUUGUGUUGUCCCUAGCUCAUCCUUCUUUUAAUUGUAAUUCUAAUAUGCCUACCUACCCUAUAAGCAUCAUUAAUGAAUUACAAGACGGACUGAAGAGAACCUGCAUUUUAAAAGGAGUAGAAUAUGCUUGCACAACAAGAAACUCCUGUUAGAUUGCUAAACUCUCACCUUUAAAAGCCC